UACGUAGGAUGCAAGCGUUGUCCGGAAUUACUGGGCGUAAAGCGUGCGCAGGCGGUUUUGCAAGCCGGAUGUGAAAUCCCCGGGCUUAACCUGGGAAUGGCAUUCGGGACUGCAAGGCUGGAGUGCGGCAGAGGAGACUGGAAUUCCUGGUGUAGCAGUGAAAUGCGUAGAUAUCAGGAGGAAUACCGAUGGCGAAGGCAGGUCUCUGGGCUGACACUGACGCUCAUGCACGAAAGCGUGGGGAGCAAACAGG
rnacentral:rRNA from 1 species